rnacentral:rRNA from 1 species
UACGUAGGCGGCAAGCGUUGUCCGGAAUUAUUGGGCGUAAAGGGAGCGCAGGCGGGAAACUAAGCGGAUCUUAAAAGUGCGGGGCUCAACCCCGUGAUGGGGUCCGAACUGGUUUUCUUGAGUGCAGGAGAGGAAAGCGGAAUUCCCAGUGUAGCGGUGAAAUGCGUAGAUAUUGGGAAGAACACCAGUGGCGAAGGCGGCUUUCUGGACUGUAACUGACGCUGAGGCUCGAAAGCUAGGGUAGCGAACGGGAUUAGAUAGUAGUCCGGCUGACUGACU